ensembl:lncRNA
CGGGAGGCAGCCAGGCAGCGGUUGCGGGCUCGAGAGAGGCGGCAGCCGAGGCGGGAAGAGGCUGCCUCUAGUUGGCUGCAGGCGAGGGUAGUCUUAUACGGCGAGUAUAUCCCAAACUCUAUAUUUUAACAUGAAAAGUUGGGGGUCGUCUUAUACACCGGAAUAUACGGUAGUAGCCAAGCGCCAUCUCUUGGAAUCUACUUCUGUUUCCAGCCUAGAGCUACAAUAUAAUUUGCGUGGUUCUUUACUGAGCAAACAAGUUUUUUUCACAGAUUUGAGUGGAGGUUACACAACAUCACCAUCACACAGUAAUUAUCUCACACUUUCCAUUUUCCAGUCACUUUUCUUACCACAAAAUACCAUUUGCUGUUCUCUUUAAAAGUGGAUCUGUUGUGCAAAAGUGACACACACAAGUAUGUAUGUAUGUAUGUAUGUAUGUAUGUAUGUAUGUCAACCAAUCCAUGACUUGUCUUUAGCUGACUUGUCUCAAAUUCACCAGCAUUUUAAAAGCCACCUGCUGUUUUGAGAUUUAUGGUGGUGGUUCUGUUCCCCUAAACCAAUGUUUUUCCUAGUCUCCUAUGUCUCCUUUCCCUUCCUCAGCAGACAAGGCCAGCUCUAGAAGGUGUUAUGGGCAGGCACUUGCCUGGGGUCCAAAUUCAACAAAGGAUCCACGCUCCAAACACUAUCGCUAUUCUUAUUUUGCGUGGAGCAACCAGUGUGAGCAACAGGAUCAGAAGCCACCAGAACUCUCCAGUUUGCAGGCCCUCCUUCUCUUUGGCCCAACGAUCCUGAAGCCAGAUGCAACCCACUAAGGGAGGGAGGGGGAUUUCCCAGGCCUGUGAGGAGCAGCAUUUCCAGGAAUCAGCCGGCCUCCUGUAUGUCCGUGGGGCAGGGCCUCCCCAGUUGCUGAACCCCACAUAAGAAACAGCAGGCUAUGUUACGGCAGACAACCAGCAGGACCGCAAAAGGGAGGCUUUUCAAAGUUCACCCUCCUUUGGUGCCUAUAGAGUAAUGUCUUUCACCCCGGCUGAGAAAUGCCUGCACUGCCAUUGGCUUUGUCACCUGUCAAAGAACCCUGCUAGGAUCUUAGCCAGCCUAAAGAAUGACGAUAAUUAGCAUGCAUGCCCUCACACAAACACACAAAUCUGAUUAAAGGGAAGGCGGUGGAGAGAUGUCUGCACCAGCCUAAAACCUCCUUUAAUAAAGUUGUUUCUGGAAUGUGUGGAGGAGGUAGUUUUGGCAGGACAACUGGAGCCAUCAAUCAAGUCCUCCUUAGCACUCCGGCAGGAGGCUUGCCUUGUGCUUCUCAGCUGCCCUGUCACUCCUCAUCUCUUUUGUUAGCGGCUAUAGGAUAAUGUGUCCGUUCUGGAGUGGGCACCUGGCAGUUGCAAAGGGCAUUCCCCAAGCCUCUUGAUUUGGACAGAAAAUCAACACAUUCGCGGGGACUUAAUGUCUUCUUUUAGCCAGUGCUGGCUUCUAGUUGUUUCUGCGCACCAAGCAGAUGCAGCUACAUCUGGGGUGGCGCAGCUAUACAUGCACAAGGCACAGCUCAGGGUGGCAUUCCGGAGGCUGUCUCUGUUGGCAGCUCCUCAGGUUCCCCUGCUUUUUGGCAAUGGGCUGCAUUUGCUCUUAAUAUAAUAAAAAAAAAGGUAAAGGUACCCCUGCCCGUACGGGCCAGUCUUGACAGACUCUAGGGUUGUGCGCUCAUCUCACUCUAGAGGCCGUGAGCCGGCGCUGUCCGCAGACACUUCCGGGUCACGUGGCCAGCGUGACAAGCUGCAUCUGGCGAGCCAGCGCAGCACACGGAAACGCCGUUUACCUUCCCGCCAGUAAGCGGUCCCUAUUUAUCUACUUGCACCCGGGGGUGCUUUCGAACUGCUAGGUUGGCAGGCGCUGGGACCGAGCAACGGGAGCGCACCCCGCCGCGGGGAUUCGAACCGCCGACCUUUCGAUCGGCAAGUCCGAGGCGCUGAGGCUUUUACCCACAGCGCCACCCGCGUCCCUCUUAAUAUAAUAGAAAUUGUUUAAACACGUUUCUGCUAUUCCGAACACUUCAGCUGGCUUAUCACAACAUCCUUACAAACGGCCUGUGCAAUAGGUCACUACAAUCAUUCCUCUAUUACAGAUUGUGUUGUGUGUGUUAGCAUGGCUGAAGCGAAGGCUGACAGAACAGUGGCUUACCUAAGACCAUCCAGUGAAAGAAUGGCAAAAAUGAGACGGAAGCAGGGACUCCCUGGUCAACAGCUCAGCCUCUUCGCCACCACUAUCCUGUACUGCAUGCGCCUGGGCUUGUCUCAUUUUAAGUUACAGUAAAGGUAAAGGGACCCCUUACCAUUAGGUCCAGUCACGAAUGACUCGGGGGUUGCGGCACUCAUCUCGCUUUACUGGCCGAGGGAGCCGGCGUACAGCUUCCGGGUCAUGUGGCCAGCAUGACUAAGCCGCUUCUGGUGAACCAGAGCAGCGCACGGAAACGCCGUUUACCUUCCCGCCGGAGCGGUACCUAUUUAUCUACUUGCACUGGCGUGCUUUCCAACUGAUGGGUGGGCAGGAGCUGGGACCGAACAACAGGAGCUCACCCCGUCGCGGGGCAGGGAUUCGAACCGCCAACCUUCUGAUCAGCAAGCCCUAAGCUCAGUGGUUUAGACCACAGCGCCAACCACGUCCCUAAGUUACAGUUAGGAGCAGCUAAUGCUCAAGGCUGGGUAUUCUCCCUGCUACAACUAAAAUGCAAAUCCUGCCCCAAGAAAAACUCAAUUCUACAGCCUCCAUUUAUUCUGCAUUUUUUAAACCAUUUUUUUCUAAAUUUGCUCUGGCUUUGCUAGUCAUUG